rnacentral:pre_miRNA from 1 species
AGCCUUCUGUAUCCGUGCUGAGAUUUUGUCAGUGAUCAACCCGCUGACACUGGCUGAUGAAACUUCCCAAAUAAGUGAAGCA